AGAAGAAUUAGAAUAGGAAUAAGUAUAAGAAUAAGUAUAGGGAUAAGAAAACGAAGCAGAGAAAGAGGAGAAGGAUUACAUCGCUGAUUGAGACAUACUUCCUCUGUUUGCGGAAGAUCCUUAGUGAAGAUGGCUGCGAGCGAUAUUCAACCGGAACCUGUUCAGAUAGAUUUUACUAAAGAAUUGCUGAGUUCAUCAGAACUAUUUCAAAGACGGAGUCGAAGUCAUAAGAUUCCUGUGAGGGGACAAAAAGAAUUUUUGCCAAAUUACUCUGUGCAGCAAAAGGCAUGUCUGCAGAAGACCCUUGAUGAGCACUGGAUGCUUAUGACAGAGGAACGAUUGGAACGAGCCGGGAACCUUGUGAAUGCGGAAUGGAUCCCUGAGGAAAAGAUAGUGAAACUGCAGUCUCCAGCAGGAAAAUUUUGGCAGACAAUGGGAUUUUCUGAUCAAGGAAAGCAGUGCUUGUUUCCAGAGGAGGCCCUUUAUCUCAUGGAAUGUGGCAGUCUGCAAGUGUUCUACCAGGAUCUUCCUCUCUCCAUCCAGGAGGGUUAUGAAACUUUCCUUUCCGCUGAAACUGUGACUUUCCUUCAGUACCAGGUGUUUGGUCAUUUAAAGAGACUGGGAUAUGUGGUAAAUCGAUUUGAUGCUAGACCAAGCAAGCAGCUGAAGAGGAAAUGGAGCCGGAGUCCCAGUUUUAGAUUGUGUACUAAGAAAAGUACUGCAUCUCCAGAGGUAUCUGCAGGACAACAUAAAGGUGAAAUUAAGACCAGUGUCCCAUACAGCAACUUGGAAACUCCAGGCCAACUACAAAGACAACAAACCUUUCAGGAUGAUGCAUUAAAAUCUGAUCCAGAAUCAGACAAAGCUCCAGAGAGGAACUGGUGGACAAAUGUAUCAAGCCAACUCCAGCCUGAUUCACUCCAGACUUCGGAGCAUUACUGGGAUUUCAGCUGCAUCUUUUUUCCAGACCUGGGGUCAUAUAGUGGCAACCGUGCCUGUCUUCCCCCUCCUGAUCCCAGCUUGCUCCCUGGUGCUCUGCAGGUAUCUGAGUGCCACCUGGCUCACUGGCACAGAAAUAUCCAUUUGAAGGAGGAAUGUUGGUCCAAGCAAAAGCGGCAGAGGGACCAAGAACGACACAGAUGCAGCAUUAAUGAUGACCAAGAGGUGUGUCGGUGCAGGAACUGGGUUGAGUAUUUAGAACUAUUGGAGAAAAGGAGGAGCCAGCAGCACAACGAAAGGCCCACACACCUUGGGGAACAGGAGGUUAUGCCUCUUGCUCAGCCCGGAAAGUGUAGUUCACAUCGUGAGCUCCUGGAGCAAGUCAGCAUUAUUCAGUCUUAUGAUUUGCUGGUAGGAAACUCCAGGUUACCUGGCUCAGACCACUGGAGGAUCACUUUCAAUGUAUACCAGCCUGACACAGAGUUUAAGAAGAGUUAUCCAGGAAAGCCCUAUACCCACUUGUGUGUUUGCAGUUUCGAUGGUCCGGUGCCAGACUUGCAUGCUUUGAAGGAGCUGUCCUUCCAAAGUGGAGAUGUGUCUGUGACAUUUGCAGUGGUGGACCAUGGGGACAUUUCUUUCUACUGCUUCAAGGAGUUUAAGCUGCCCACUGAUGUCUACUGACAGGACUUAAGAUACUGCUUCCAUGUCAAUGGAUAACAUCACAAAACCAACUGUAACCAUCAAAAUCGUCAUAUCUAUUAGGAGGGAACCUUGGUCUGUUGCACGGGAGAAGAGAAAGGUGACUAAAAACCACCCUUAGUCAGAGCUCCCCACCUCAUCAACAACCUUUCAUACUUCAAAACCAGUAUGAGAUAAUGUCGGAAUCAGCUUCACCUACAGAGAAACUGUCAGUGGCUUCCUCCACUCCGCACCCUAAAUCGCCCAGGGAGUGUGCUGCGCUGCCGGAAUCAUCUCGGUCCAACUAUGAAAACCAGAGGAAACUGCACCACAGCCUCGGAGGCUUAACCCCUCGCAGCUCUAUGGGUCAUCAGUGCCGCACUCACCACCGCACCAACCCACCUGAGGACUCAUCACUGACUCCUACUCCAUGCAGAAAGAAUGCACCAAAGCCCUGACUCAAUAAUCAGAGAUAUUGGAAACAAACGGAUUAAAAUUUUCUUAUCCCAGGCAACUAUACGCGACAUCAUGGAAAACAUCCCACAGAUUCUAAGGAAUAAUCCAACAACUAACAAAAUAAUUAUAGAUGCAGGUUUAAAUGACCUUUCUAAACAAAGUUUUAAAACAAGAUUUUCUUUACCUUCUGGACUCUGAACUCCUCCACAGUCAAAUUGCAUAUAUCAGGCCUGAUACCAGCAAUCACCAAUCACUAGCAUACAACUGGCUGGUCUCUACAUGCGCUGCCUAAGGGGUGCACUUCACGGACAACUCUGCAUGGUCUUCUAACUAAGCUCAGUCAGCAUUGCAGCCCAGGAUCCACUCCUUCUCCCACUACAUUUUCAGCUGUCCCUACCAGUGAGGCUAUCUGACAUGGGUAACCACUGACUGUAGGUAAACAUGCUACUUUUCAGCAUAUUCCAGUAAUUUGCAAUAUUUGGUGGCAUGGCCAUAGGAAACAGAAGAGGUCCUCAAACACUAAUUUUAUUAUACUCCUCUAUUUAUUAUUUACUAUUCCUUUUUAAUUUUAAACUUCACCUUUCCCUUUUUUUCAUUCCAGCACAUCAUGUUUCCAGAGAUUUACAAUUUACUAAUUUAAUUUACUAAUCUCCUCACCACUUGUGUACACUCAUCAUCCACUUUAUUAGGAACACCUAUACAUGUGCACAUGCAUGCAGUUAUCUAAUCAGCCAAUCAUGUGGCAGCAGCACAAUGCAAAAAAAAAAAAAAAAAAUCAAUAAAAUAAAAAAAAUCAUGCAGAUACAGGUCAAGCACUUCAGUUAUUGUUCACAUCAAACAUUAGAAUGGGGGAAAAUGUGAUCUCUAUGACUUUAGGAUGAAAAACAAAAAACAUCCUGUGAGCAGGUAGUCUGCAGGCUGUAACACCUUGUUCUUGAGAGAGAUCAGAGGAAAAACAUAAAUCAUAAAUCUGGUGCACUUUGAGAGCAAAAUAAAAAGAUCUAUGAAGAACUUUACUCUUGUUAAUAAUUGUGAGCUCUAGUAGUAAUUUAAUCAUAAACACAUGGUUGUGUAGAUAUGAAUGGCAGAAGUCACACACUGCAGUACUGGCACUUCUACAUUUUACUCUUUGGUGUACCUUGAAUUUUAAUUGCAUACCAGCACUUCUCUCAAGCUGCCGGUACUCUUUUCUGCCUUCUCCAUAUCAGGUUCUGAGCGAUUCAUAAUUUCCCUACAUAAACUACAUUACCCAGAGGGCACUAUGUGAUGCUCACCUGUUCCUGUUCUCUCAAAACGUCUCAAGAUAAAUAACGUUCAUGCUAGUCUAUCAUUAUGUAACGUAACGUUAAUGCUAGUCUAAGUAAUGUAACGUUAAUACCAUAGUAUAGAGGGUUGCACCCACUGCGUGGCAGAAAGAUUGAUUAGCAGCAUUAGUGUUCAGCUUGAAUGCUGCAGAAAAACAAAAAACACAUCUAAAAUGGGAAAGAGCUGUUGUCUGACUGACUGUACAAAUAGAUUAAACAAGAAAUCUGAGCUAUCUGUUUCCCAGACUGCCGAAAGCUACAGAAAAGAGAAGCAAAUGGCUCGCUGCAAGGGAGAUGAUUAGACAGUGUAAGCUAGCCAAGACAGACCCAGUUUUCUUUGCAAGCGGGUACUCCACAAAGCAAGCUUAGAUAGAUAGAUAGACUGCUGUUUAAAAUUCCGACUGAUACAGGCAAAAAGGAGUUCUUAAACAGGUUUAAUUUAUGCCGGUGAACUCUAUAUCCUCUGCCUGAUGGUAACAGCUGGCCAGCAAACACAGAACAUUACCCUAACAUUAGCAUAUGGUUCCCGGUUGGUUAUUUUUUGGGAACCAUGUUAUAAUGUUCUAGGAAUGUUUUCUGUAGGAUCUCUUUUUUUUUUUUUUUUUUUGUAACCAAAAACUAAUCUUCCCAGAACGUUACAUGAAGGUUUUUUAGUAACAACCUGCAGAGAACCUAUACAGAACGUACUCUAAUCGUUAUUUUUAGGUCAAUUGAGAGAAUUGACAUUUCCUUCCGGCACUGGCAAUUCUGAGGGUGGGGCUAUAUAGGUACUGUCUGGCCCCAGCUGAAAUCUAAUUGGCUCCUGAAGUGCCCCUGUCCUGUCAAUCAUCUCUAAUCUACAUCAGAGCACUCAAUCAGCCGAGUAGUGAUGGGAAGUUCGGAUCAUUUUACUGACUUGGAUGUUUGAAUCUUGUUCAGUAAAAUGAACUAAUCUUUUUUCGAGUCAUUUCGUUCAUUUCAGCAGGAUAUAUUUAAAAUGUUGCAUGUAAAUUCCUCAACACAUCUAGUACUUACGCAAACGUUGAGCACAUUUUGGAAUAAAAAAUAAAUUCUAGGCUAAUUGCAGCCAAGGCCACAUUAUGAGAAACAGAAAUGAUUCAUUAAUAGCUUAGCAUUAGGUGUUCAGGGUAUGCAAUCUUUUGGUUCACCUCACCUCCCGAUCCGAGUCGUUCUUUUGUUACAUCACAUUUGUCACAUCUGUUCCCGGAAACGGAAAUGAUUAGUCCGUGUCUCAAGUCUUCGGGUUCAAGUUGUUCAUUCGUCCCAUGACCACCCCAUAGGCAAUGCACCAUUCAAGUCGUUCGUUCAUCACGUGACAGCCCCACUGCAUUCAGCCUAUGGUGCUGUUGUCGUGAUGAACGAACGACUCGAACCCGAAAUUCAGCUCACUUAACCGUUUCUUUCUACCACAUCUCGUAAUGGCCGGUCUAUAGACAGUGCGUUUUUAUCAUCCUCGUUCACAUAAGCUUCAAUGGUAAGUACAUAUUCAACAUUUUAACUAACGUUUCAAAGGACAUUAGUGUUGUUGUCAUUAUACUUCUCUUUUGUCUAACGUUAAGAAACUAGUUAACUACAGUACAACACAGUAUGAGAGCACACUCCCAGGCAAGACUUCCGCAUAAAGGAAAAAGUUGGAUAUGUCACUUGUAUUUUUAUUAUGAUGUUGUGUUUUUGUGUACUUUUUUGUAACAAACAUUAUAACAACUUGUAAUAUUGAACAAGUGAGAGACUGAAACAACAAGAUGCAUUGCAAAAUGACCAAAAUGCCCAUCCCUAAUAGUAUCACACAGAUAUUGCAUUAUUAUAUUAUUACAGUAAAAUACAGAUAUUAUAUUAUUAAAAUAUUAUACGUUCUUAUUAUAUAUUGUAAAGUUAAUAGUUUGACAAGUGCUUGUCCCUUUUGGGUAAAUAAAUUUAUGUUGUGAACAUCAGUGAUAUCUCCUAGUAUCGUUUAUUCACUGUAGAAAUUCAGAAUGUAGCACUUAAUGAUUAGCCAAUAAUGGCAAGAACACACGCAAACAUGAAUAAGGGGAGUACUGGCACUGUUUUUCCCCCACUUCAAGCACUAGUCAUACUGCCAUGAGUCCUUCUGACUAUGCAAUAACCAAUGUAUCCUUAGAAAGCUGAUACGUGAGAGU